CUACGGGUGGCUCCAGUGGGGAAUAUUGCACCAUGGAGGAAACUCUGAUGCAGCAACGCCGCGUGGAGGAUGACACUUUUCGGAGCGUAAACUCCUUUUAUAUAGGAAGAAGAUGACGGUACUAUAUGAAUAAGCGCCGGCUAACUCCGUGCCAGCAGCCGCGGUAAUACGGAGGGCGCAAGCGUUACUCGGAAUCACUGGGCGUAAAGAGCGUGUAGGCGGAUUAAAAGGUCAGAAGUGAAAUCCUAUAGCUUAACUAUAGAACUGCUUCUGAAACUCUUAAUCUAGAAUAUGGGAGAGGUAGAUGGAAUUUCUGGUGUAGGGGUAAAAUCCGUAGAGAUCAGAAGGAAUACCGAUUGCGAAGGCGAUCGACUAGACCAUUAUGGACGCUGAGACGCGAAAGCGUGGGGAGCAAACAGGAUUAGAUACCCGUGUAGUC
rnacentral:rRNA from 1 species